GACGAACGCUGGCGGCGUGCCUAAUACAUGCAAGUCGAACGAAACUUCUUUAUCACCGAGUGCUUGCACUCACCGAUAAAGAGUUGAGUGGCGAACGGGUGAGUAACACGUGGGCAACCUGCCCAAAAGAGGGGGAUAACACUUGGAAACAGGUGCUAAUACCGCAUAACCAUAGUUACCGCAUGGUAAAUAUGUAAAAGGUGGCUAUACUACCGCUUUUGGAUGGGCCCGCGGCGCAUUAGCUAGUUGGUAGGGUAAAGGCUUACCAAGGCAAUGAUGCGUAGCCGAAUUGAGAGGUUGAUCGGCCACAUUGGGACUGAGACACGGCCCAAACUCCUACGGGAGGCAGCAGUAGGGAAUCUUCCACAAUGGGCGAAAGCCUGAUGGAGCAACGCCGCGUGGGUGAAGAAGGUCUUCGGAUCGUAAAACCCUGUUGUUAGAGAAGAAAGUGCGUGAGAGUAACUGUUCACGUUUCGACGGUAUCUAACCAGAAAGCCACGGCUAACUACGUG
rnacentral:rRNA from 1 species